rnacentral:rRNA from 1 species
AAAUACCAAGGCGCUUGAGAGAACUCUGGUGAAGGAACUAGGCAAAAUAGCACCGUAACUUCGGGAGAAGGUGCGCUGCUGACGGUGAAGGGCCUGCGCCCGGAGCUGUUGGCAGCCGAAGUAACCAGGCCGCUGCGACUGUUUAUUAAAAACACAGCACUCUGCAAACACGAAAGUGGACGUAUAGGGUGUGACGCCUGCCCGGUGCCGGAAGGUUAAUUGAUGGGGUCAGCCGCAAGGCGAAGCUCUUGAUCGAAGCCCCGGUAAACGGCGGCCGUAACGAUAACGGUCCUAAGGUAGCGAAAUUCCUUGUCGGGUAAGUUCCGACCUGCACGAAUGGCGUAACGAUGGCGGCGCUGUCUCCACCAGAGACUCAGUGAAAUCGAAAUCGCGGUGAAGAUGCCGUGUACCCGUGGCUAGACGGAAAGACCCCGUGAACCUUUACUGUAGCUUCACACUGGACUUUGACAUGAUCUGUGUAGGAUAGCUGGGAGGCUUUGAAGUGGUGACGCUAGUUGCCAUGGAGCCGUCCUUGAAAUACCAGCCUGGUCCUGUCGGGGUUCUAACGUCGACCUGUUAUCAGGUUACGGACAGUGUGUGGUGGGCAGUUUGACUGGGGCGGUCUCCUCCCAAAGAGUAACGGAGGAGCACGAAGGUGCGCUAAUCACGGUCGGAAAUCGUGAGGUUAGUGUAAAGGCACAAGCGCGCUUGACUGCGAGACAGACAAGUCGAGCAGGUACGAAAGUAGGUCUUAGUGAUCCGGUGGUUCUGUAUGGAAGGGCCAUCGCUCAACGGAUAAAAGGUACUCCGGGGAUAACAGGCUGAUACCGCCCAAGAGUUCAUAUCGACGGCGGUGUUUGGCACCUCGAUGUCGGCUCAUCACAUCCUGGGGCUGAAGCCGGUCCCAAGGGUAUGGCUGUUCGCCAUUUAAAGUGGUACGCGAGCUGGGUUUAGAACGUCGUGAGACAGUUCGGUCCCUAUCUGCCAUGGGCGUUGGAGAUUUGAGAAGAGUUGCUCCUAGUACGAGAGGACCGGAGUGAACGAACCUCUGGUGUACCGGUUGUCACGCCAGUGGCAUUGCCGGGUAGCUAAGUUCGGACGGGAUAACCGCUGAAAGCAUCUAAGCGGGAAGCCUCCUUCAAGAUGAGAUCUCCCUGGAGCUUUAAGCUCCCUGAAGGGCCGUCGGAGACUACGACGUUGAUAGGCGAGGUGUGGAAGCGUUGCGAGACGUUGAGCUGACUCGUACUAAUUGCCCGUGCGGCUUGACC